rnacentral:rRNA from 1 species
UUGGAGGGCAAGUCUGGUGCCAGCAGCCGCGGUAAUUCCAGCUCCAAUAGCGUAUAUUAAAGUUGUUGCAGUUAAAAAGCUCGUAGUUGAAUUUCGGGAUCGACGGGUCGGUCGCGCCUCUGGUGUGUACUGGCCCUGUCGGUUUCUCCCUUCUGACGAACCACGAUGUCAUUAAUUUGGUGUCGUGGGAAAUCAGGACUGUUACUUUGAAAAAAUUAGAGUGUUUAAAGCAAGCUUACGCUUGAAUACAUUAGCAUGGAAUAAUGAAAUAGGACAUCGCAUUCUAUUUUGUUGGUUUCUAGGAUCGAUGUAAUGAUUAAUAGGGAUAGUUGGGGGCAUUAGUAUUCAAUUGUCAGAGGUGAAAUUCUUGGAUUUAUUGAAGACUAACUACUGCGAAAGCAUUUGCCAAGGAUGUUUUCAUUAAUCAAGAACGAAAGUUAGGGGAUCGAAGACGAUCAGAUACCGUCGUAGUCUUAACCAUAAACUAUGCCGACUAGGGAUCGGACGAAGUUAAUUUUAUAAUGACGCGUUCGGCGCCUUACGGGAAAC